CUGGACAGAGCCUUCCAAAAGUGAAUCCAUGUAAAAUGAAAUGUUUAGACAGAAGAUCACUCAUGGCCAGAGAUAAGGAUCGAGCAUUGUAAAUCCACCCGCGUAAAUCCAGGAAACUUUACCUGGCAAGCAGGACUCUGGCUUCUGUUGGAGUUGAUCAGCUACCACUGCUGGUGGAGUCCCACAGGAUGACACUGAACCAGAGAGGCCAGAUGAGAGAAAACACACGUGGUGGGUCAUUCUGUCAUUGAGAACGCUCCUCUGAGCUAUGGCCCAGCAGUUUUAUAGACCUAUGCAGAAGCCUGCAGCGUUACCCCAAGGGAGGGCAUCAAAGCACAAAGUCCCAUCCCUCACCUGAACCAGCGGGCUGAUGAGAAAAUGCUUUGUGGGAGCCUCCGGCAAGAGAGCAAGGAUUCUGGGAGCUGCGGAGGGGGAUGAGAAAUGGCCUGUGACAGCUUCUCAUAAGACUGCCAUUUUCCGGGGGAAGAUCACGGGGUGUUCUGCCAGGACUCGGG
rnacentral:lncRNA from 1 species